GGGCAGCAUGAGUGUAGCAAUACAUUUGAUGGCGACCGGCAAACGGGUGCGGAACACGUACAGAACCUUCCUUCGAGCGGGGAAUAGCCCAGAGAAAUUUGGAUUAAUACCCCAUAGUAUUAUGGAGUGGCAUCACUUUGUAAUUAAAGAUUUAUCACUUGAAGAUGGCUGUGCGGCUGAUUAGAUAGUUGGUGAGGUAACGGCUCACCAAGUCUACGAUCAGUAACUGGUGUGAGAGCACGACCAGUCACACGGGCACUGAGACACGGGCCCGACUCCUACGGGAGGCAGCAGUAAGGAAUAUUGGUCAAUGGACGAAAGUCUGAACCAGCCAUGCCGCGUAGAGGAUGAAGGCCCUCUGGGUUGUAAACUUCUUUUAUCUGGGACGAAAAAGGGCCUUUCUAGGUCAACUGACGGUACCAGGUGAAUAAGCACCGGCUAACUCCGUGCCAGCAGCCGCGGUAAUACGGAGGGUGCAAGCGUUAUCCGGAUUCACUGGGUUUAAAGGGUGCGUAGGUGGGUUGGUAAGUCAGUGGUGAAAUCUCCGAGCUUAACUUGGAAACUGCCAUUGAUACUAUCAGUCUUGAAUAUUGUGGAGGUCAGCGGAAUAUGUCAUGUAGCGGUGAAAUGCUUAGAUAUGACAUAGAACACCAAUUGCGAAGGCAGCUGGCUACACAUAUAUUGACACUGAGGCACGAAAGCGUGGGG
rnacentral:rRNA from 1 species